rnacentral:rRNA from 1 species
AAUGAACGUUGGCGGCGUGGAUUAGGCAUGCAAGUCGAGCGAGAACCCAGCAAUGGGGGACAGCGGCGAAAGGGACAGUAAUGUGUAGAUUAUCUGCCCUCGGGUCCGGGAUAGCUGCGGGAAACUGCAGGUAAUACCGGAUAACAUCUCCGGAUCAAAGGUGUGAUUCCGCCCGAGGAUGAGUCUGCAUCCUAUUAGCUAGUUGGUAGGGUAAUGGCCUACCAAGGCUUUGAUGGGUAGCAGGUGUGAGAGCACGACCUGCGUCAUUGGGACUGAGACACUGCCCAGACACCUACGGGUGGCUGCAGUCGCGAAUCUUCGGCAAUGGGCGCAAGCCUGACCGAGCGACGCCGCGUGUGGGAUGAAGGCCUUCGGGUUGUAAACCACUGUCAGAGGGGAUGAAAUGCAGGUGGGUUCUCCCAUCUGUUUGACAUAGCCUCAGAGGAAGGACGGGCUAAGUUCGUGCCAGCCGCCGCGGUAAAAC